rnacentral:rRNA from 1 species
UACGUAGGGUGCGAGCGUUAAUCGGAAUUACUGGGCGUAAAGCGUGCGCAGGCGGUUUCGUAAGACAGACGUGAAAUCCCCGGGCUCAGCCUGGGAACUGCGUUUGUGACUGCGAGACUAGAGUGUGUCAGAGGGGGGUGGAAUUCCGCGUGUAGCAGUGAAAUGCGUAGAGAUGCGGAGGAACACCGAUGGCGAAGGCAAUCCCCUGGGCCUGCACUGACGCUCAUGCACGAAAGCGUGGGGAGCAAACAGGAUUAGAUACCCCAGUAGU